rnacentral:rRNA from 1 species
AGAGUUUGAUCCUGGCUCAGAUUGAACGCUGGCGGCAUGCCUUACACAUGCAAGUCGAACGGCAGCAUGGAGAGCUUGCUCUCUGAUGGCGAGUGGCGAACGGGUGAGUAAUACAUCGGAACGUGUCCGUUUGUGGGGGACAACCGUCCGAAAGGAUGGCUAAUACCGCAUAAGACCUGAGGGUGAAAGCCGGGGACCGCAAGGCCCGGCGCAGACGGAGCGGCCGAUGAUUGAUUAGCUAGUUGGGGAGGUAAAGGCUCACCAAGGCGACGAUCAAUAGCUGGUCUGAGAGGACGACCAGCCACACUGGAACUGAGACACGGUCCAGACUCCUACGGGAGGCAGCAGUGGGGAAUUUUGGACAAUGGGGGCAACCCUGAUCCAGCCAUGCCGCGUGCGGGAAGAAGGCCUUCGGGUUGUAAACCGCUUUUGUCAGGGACGAAAAGCUCCGGAGUAAUAUGCCGGAGUGCUGACGGUACCUGAAGAAUAAGCACCGGCUAACUACGUGCCAGCAGCCGCGGUAAUACGUAGGGUGCAAGCGUUAAUCGGAAUUACUGGGCGUAAAGCGUGCGCAGGCGGUUGGGUAAGACAGAUGUGAAAUCCCCGGGCUUAACCUGGGAACUGCAUUUGUGACUGUCCGACUGGAGUACGUCAGAGGGGGGUGGAAUUCCACGUGUAGCAGUGAAAUGCGUAGAUAUGUGGAAGAACACCGAUGGCGAAGGCAGCCCCCUGGGACGCAACUGACGCUCAUGCACGAAAGCGUGGGGAGCAAACAGGAUUAGAUACCCUGGUAGUCCACGCCCUAAACGAUGUCUGCUGGUUGUUGGGAAUUUAAUUCUCAGUAACGAAGCCAACGCGUGAAGCAGACCGCCUGGGGAGUACGGUCGCAAGAUUAAAACUCAAAGGAAUUGACGGGGACCCGCACAAGCGGUGGAUGAUGUGGAUUAAUUCGAUGCAACGCGAAAAACCUUACCCAGCCUUGACAUGUCAGGAAUGCCUCGGAGAUGAGGCAGUGCCCGCAAGGGAACCUGAGCACAGGUGCUGCAUGGCUGUCGUCAGCUCGUGUCGUGAGAUGUUGGGUUAAGUCCCGCAACGAGCGCAACCCUUGUGAUAUGUUACUAACAUUGAGUUGAGGACUCAUAUCAGACUGCCGGUGAUAAACCGGAGGAAGGUGGGGAUGACGUCAAAUCAUCAUGCCCCUUAUGGCCUGGGCUACACACGUACUACAAUGGCGUCUACAAAGAGCGGCAAGCCUGUGAAGGCAAGCGAAUCUCAUAAAGGACGUCUCAGUUCGGAUUGAAGUCUGCAACCCGACUUCAUGAAGCUGGAAUCGCUAGUAAUCGCGAAUCAGCAUGUCGCGGUGAAUACGUUCUCGGGCCUUGUACACACCGCCCGUCAAACCAUGGGAGUUGGUAAUGCCCGAAGCCGGUGGCAUAACCCUUCGGGGAGUGAGCCGUCGAAGGCAGGACCGAUGACUGGGGUUAAGUCGUAACAAGGUA